AAGGAAAACUUGGGAAUGAAACCGUUGCGAUUAAGAAGCUUAGAUCUCAGAAUAAAAAGGAGGAAGAGCAAUUUGCAAGAGAUCAAUUUAAGAAGGAGGCUGAAAUCCUUAGCGGUAUCGAUCCUCACAAAAAUAUUGUCAAGGUGCUAGGAUACUGCAGUCAUAAAGCCAAUAGAUUGCUUGUUUAUGAGUUUCUUCCCAACAACUCAUUGCUUUCUCAUUUGCAUGGGGAAAUGAAAAGCCGACACUUAAUUGGUCAAACAGAUGGAAUAUUGCUUUAGGCAUUGCAGAAGGAUUAGCACAUUUACAUGACCAAUGUAAGCNNNNNNNNNNNNNGAUAUUAAGAGUGCUAAUAUUCUUCUUGAUGAUAAAUUUGUACCAAAGAUUGCAGAUUUUGGAAUUGCCAAAGAAUUUUUGAUUUCUGAUUCUCACACUUAUUCUGAGCCAAGGGCAUCUUAUUUUUAUGAACCUCCUGAGUAUUACAAAGUUGGUCCAGAAAGAAGGAAGCUAACUGCCAAGUCUGAUGUCUUUUCCUUUGGUGUUG
rnacentral:misc_RNA from 1 species